AGCGACAUGGCCGAGUGAUAAGGCGGGGGCUGCAAAUCCUUUUUCCCCAGUUCAAAUCUGGAUGUCGCCU
rnacentral:tRNA from 1 species